rnacentral:rRNA from 1 species
AUUGAACGCUGGCGGCAUGCUUUACACAUGCAAGUCGAACGGUAACAGGCCUUCGGGUGCUGACGAGUGGCGAACGGGUGAGUAAUGCAUCGGAACGUACCCAGAGGUGGGGGAUAACGCAGCGAAAGCUGUGCUAAUACCGCAUGUGAUCUGAGGAUGAAAGCGGGGGACCGAGCAGCAAUGUUUGGCCUCGCGCCUUUGGAGCGGCCGAUGUCGGAUUAGCUAGUUGGUGGGGUAAAGGCCUACCAAGGCGACGAUCCGUAGCUGGUCUGAGAGGACGACCAGCCACACUGGGACUGAGACACGGCCCAGACUCCUACGGGAGGCAGCAGUGGGGAAUUUUGGACAAUGGGCGCAAGCCUGAUCCAGCAAUGCCGCGUGCGGGAAGAAGGCCUUCGGGUUGUAAACCGCUUUUGGCAGGAACGAAACGGUGUCCGCUAAUACCGGGCGCUAAUGACGGUACCUGCAGAAUAAGCACCGGCUAAAUACGUG